AGGCCCCUGCAGCAGCAGCGGCGUGGUCAGAGCGAGCUUCGGAGAAGCAGUGGUGGGUUCCAUGUGAUGGUGGAGUAGGAGGCAGGUCUCCGCGGUUUCUUCAUGUGGCUGCAGAUGGCAGGAUUUCCCAAAGGUUUCUGGCUGAAACAUAUUCCGUGGUGUAUCUGUACAGCAGUUUCCUCAUCCCUGCAGCUGUGUUUGAACAGGUCAUUUACCAUGCUGUCCUCCAGGUUCAACAGUAUGGCUCCAAAGGAUGAAAUUUCAUUCUGAUUUUCUGGCUGAAGACUAUUCUCUUUGUGUAUGUCCACCACAGUUACUUUAUCCCUUCAUCUGUGGAUGGGCAG
rnacentral:lncRNA from 10 species